GUUUGAUCCUGGCUCAGGACGAACGCUGGCGGCGUGCCUAACACACGCAAGUCGAACGAAAUUUACCUUUUCACUGAGCGCUCGAAGAGCAGCUAUAUGCUAUUAUCAAGAGCCAACACACUUAAAAAUUCGAGAACCGAGUGAAAAGGUAAAUUUAGUGGCGGACGGGUGAGUAACGCGUGAACAAUCUGCCCCAAACAAAGGAAUAGUCUCGGGAAACCGGGAAUAAAACCAUAUGAUACUCCACAGCCGCAUGGCAGAGGAGUCAAAUCGAAUAAGAGGUAAGGGAUGAGUUCGCGUCUGGUUAGCUAGUUGGUGAGGUAAGAGCCCACCAAGGCAACGAUCAGUAGCCGGCCUGAGAGGGUGAACGGCCACAUUGGAACUGAGAGACGGUUCCAAACUCCUACGGGAGGGCAGGCAGUGGGGAAUAUUGCACAAUGGAGGAACUCUGAUGCAGCGACGCCGCGUGAAGUGAAGAAGGUUUUCGGAUCGUAAAACUCUGUCCUAGGUGAAGAAAGAAAUGACGGUAGCCAAGGAGGAAGCCCCGGCUAACUACGUGCCAGCAGCCGCGGUAAUACGUAGGGGGCGAGCGUUGUCCGGAUUUACUGGGCGUAAAGGGUGAGUAGGCGGUUGUGCGUGUCAGAUGUAAAAGGCGUAGGCUUAACUUACGUUAGCAUUUGAAACUGUACGACUUGAGUGCAGGAGAGGUAAGCGGAAUUCCUAGUGUAGCGGUGAAAUGCGUAGAUAUUAGGAGGAACACCGGUGGCGAAGGCGGCUUACUGGACUGUAACUGACGCUGAAUCACGAAAGCGUGGGUAGCAAACAGGAUUAGAUACCCUGGUAGUCCACGCUGUAAACGAUGAGUGCUAGGUGUUGGCCAGCGAUGGUCGGUGCCGAAGCAAACACAAUAAGCACUCCGCCUGGGGAGUACGGUCGCAAGACUGAAACUCAAAGGGAAUUUGACGGGGACCCGCACAAGCAGCGGAGCAUGUGGUUUAAUUCGAAGCAACGCGAAGAACCUUACCAAGGCUUGACAUCCCUCUGAAUUAAUCAGAGAUGAAUAAGCUCCUUCGGGAGCAGAGGAGACAGGUGUGCAUGUGUCGUCAGCUCGUGUCGUGAGAUGUUGGGGUUUAAGUUCCCGCAAACGAAGGCGCAACCCCUAUUCUUAGUUGCCAGCAGAUAAAGCUGGGCACUCUAAGGAGACUGCCGAUGACAAAUCGGAGGAAGGUGGGGAUGACGUCAAAUCAUCAUGCCCCUUAUGUCUUGGGCUACACACGUGCUACAAUGGCCGGAACAAAAGGAAGCGAAGGAGAGGUCCGGAGCAAAUCCCCAUAAACUGGUCCCAGUUCGGAUUGUAGGCUGCAAUUCGCCUACAUGAAGUCGGAGUUGCUAGU
rnacentral:rRNA from 1 species